AUGAUGCAUUCUCCCGAUAUACCUUUAAAUGUGAAUAAGAAGAUUUUUCUAUUUUGAUCUUUUAUUUCCCUUUUAAAUUUAUUCCCUCUUCUUUUGCCUCUCUUUUACCUUUUUUAAUCCUUUUUUUGAGAAAGAGAGAGUUUAACUGUUGCUAAUAUUCUACGUAUUGGAAUAAGAAUAUCUGACUAUAAUAUUUGUUUCAAUGUUAUUGACAAUAUGUAUGAAGUAUGUUGCUAAUAGGACUCUGAUUAUUGCAACAUGAAAGACUGUGUAAGUGAAUGGACUAGUUCGCUGUUCCUUUUCUUCAAUGAACAUGGAAGUAAAUUGAG